UAGUUCAUUAAUUAUCCUGCAAGAAGAUUAUCUUAUAUGCUUGACUAAGUAUAAUAACUCAUUUAUUAUUGGCUUUCAUUUAUUAACUACCUUCAUGUUAUCAGAGAGGUUGCGUAAUGCAACAUUCACGACGAUUAGUGCAUGCGUAUACAGUUAAGGAUUUGAAAUCAAUAAGGAUUGCACGUACUUAGGUGUUACACUAAUGGCAACCAUUUGCUGGAAGCAAGGUGCUAUUCCAGGUUAAGCAUCGAUCGGUUAAAAGGUUACGGAAGAGAAGCGAAGUACGAUGCAUUUUUCACAGAAUUUUUAAUUAAUUCCUACUUCUUCAAUUUCUACGAGAGUGUUUGAAUCAGGCGCUUUAUCCAAAGCUACCUUUACACCAAAAUCUAAUCCUUGGUCAAGAACCUAGCUGUAAUGGACGACGUCCAUCUUGUGGUCAAUCAAAGGUCACUAACGGUCAUUUUCUCAAAACCAUUGCCGCCAUCUACCUAACCACCGUGAACGCUCCUGAAGACUUCCCUUCUGCUCGUCCGACUAAUUCCGUGAACAGCGUCCAACUCAAAUCACUUUGUGCAAAAUAAUCUAUUACUCGGCUGGCUUCCCUUCGGCAAUACUUUCACACGGCACAAUCCUCCAUGAUGAAAUUGGAACUUUGAAAAAGUUUCCACAUUUGGUGCAGCAUUUCUUAUAGCCUUCUUUACGGGAGGAUCCAAUCUUCCAACGAAGCAGGAAUUUUAACAAAAAAAAAAAAAGAAAGGAAGAAGAAGGAGAAACGCAGAAAUAUGAAUAAAGAAAUUGCAAGAAUAGAAAGAAUUGAAGGAGAGUAAUAAAUAAAAAAGAUAGUAGCAGUAGUAUGCAAUUGGCUUGGCAACUAAGUGAUUGCAAAUUUUGUGGUUAGGUGGUACUGACAAAAUCCGCAAUCACUUAGUUGCCUAGCUAAUAGAUAGUGCUGGAUCGCAGAACAAAAUUUCAACAAUAAAAAGUAUGAUGAAACGAGAAAUAAAAAUGGCAGAAUAAAGAUACCAUAGAAAGAACAUUCAAGAAAAAUUCUAGCAGUUAAAGGAUUCAGUCAAUUUGUUCGUGGAAACACCUCGUCGUGUAAACUUUGCCACUUGUCGAUUUUACGAUCGCGUCAUAUCGUAAAAACUACUAUGAUAUGAUGGAAACUUUUCAAACAAUAUAUAUAUUGCGAUCAGAGUACAUAUGUAUUUGACGCUUGAAGAAAAGGUGAAUUUUGCUGAACAAAUAAUUCCGCGAGCCAUUUGAAGUUGAGCACGUGGAUAGAAAAUGAAAUUCGAGUAUUACGAAUUAACCUUCAACUUACCUAAUACAGUGAAACUUGGGGGAUAUUUCAUAUCUCAAGAAACGAAGAAAAUUUCUCCAAGUACGGCUAGCCCCUUAAUUGAGCCGUCUAGGACGAGAGAGGGUCAAGUCAAAAGAGUCGGAAAAUCGAGUUAGCUCGACGCUGCUGUUCCACUGAAAUUGAAUAGCAAGCUUUAAGUAUGAAUUUCACAAGAUGAGAUGAAAUUGAUUUACUUGCCAUUCUAGAAUGCUUGAUCAUUUUGAGUCAUAUGACCAAGAAUAGAAGGGACAAUUGAAGAUGAAGAGACAGAGCAGUAGGUUCUUAAACCUGCCAUUGAAAAACGGUGGUUCUUUUUGCUCAUUCUUUCUCUUUCCUUUCAUUUUUCAUGAUGAGCAGAAACAAGUAUAAAAAUGAGCUAUACUUUCGGACAAUGCAAUUUCGCCCCGAAGACUUUCCUCCUAUGACCAUAAAAACAACGGAGUUAUUUAGAUGCUUCCACUUUAUAUAAUAUAAUAUAAUGUCGAGGAGACGCGACUAAGUUUACCAUCUAAAACGUCCCUCCUUACGUCCUCCCCUUUUCAUUGAGCCACGAUGUACGAUGAUUUGAAAAUCUUCUAGAAACGUAAGAUUUCUUUUGCAAAGUGAUAGAAUACACAGUACAAUUGAACGGAGGAUUGUACUACGUGCGAAAAUAAAUUAAAAAUAUAUGAAAAAUUGUCAAAUACACGCUGACUCAAUAAUCAGAUAGGUUAUUCUACAUGCAAAAAUAGGUGGGUAGGUUUUCAAGAAAAUAGAAUUUUGAAAAUUUUAUAAGUACGCGUCAACUUGACUGAUUUCUUAUUAAAUGAAAGUGGAUGAUGGUAAAGUGGGUUUUUUACAUGAGAAAAUGUAGAAUAAAAUAGUUUCAUUCAAGGCCAGCAUUUUGCAAAAAGUCGGAUUUGAAAUUUCCUGGGGUACAUUAAUUAGUCAAAUCCGAUUCUCAUGAAAAUGAGACCUUAGGUGAACAAAUUUUAUCACUACAUUUUUUUACAUAUUGUUGAAUGUAAAACAACCUUUUACCAUAUCCCCAAUAAUAAUGCGAUAUUUUAUUAAUUGUUACAAUUACCUAGAAGUUUACGUAUUGUAGUUAUUUGGUGAAUUAAAAUGCAGAAUAAUAUACAUACAGAAGAAUUUUAGCAGUUUUCAAAAUUUAUUAUUCAUCAUGUUAUAUCCAUUUUUAUGUUUUCCACCAACUCGUCUACAUUUGCAUAAAUUAGUUCAAAAUUAAUGAAGUUGAAACUGUUUUAAACGUUAAUUAGAGACUCUCCUAAAUCUAAUGUUAGUCACAUGCAAUUUUUUUGACCGCGUUGAAUGUUACCUGUUAUAUUGCGUUCAUCUCCGUCUUACCAUAAAAGGGAUAAGAAAUAUAAAUCGCCAUCCUGAAUCACCCUAUCUGUUGGAAGAUUUUAUCUGAGCUGCCCGAUAGAUUGCAGCUCUUUCCCCCUAUGUGAUUGCUUGAAUACACUCGACACAGUUUUACAUCGUAAUUGAUAACUCGCCUGGAUAUUCGAUUUUUCUGUAUGUUCAGUUUCUCGAUUUCUCGUUCUAGCUACUAACCACGACCCAUCAAUUUACCAUAUGAAGACUACAAAACACGAUACACGAUAAAUCAAGUUACUUGUCUUUUUAAGGA